rnacentral:pre_miRNA from 1 species
UGAAAGACUCGAGUAGUGAGAUGUCCUAGUACAUCAAAAAUUCUCACUACCUUGUCUUUC